UACGUAGGUGGCAAGCGUUGUCCGGAUUUACUGGGCGUAAAGAGCGCGCAGGCGGUCGUUCAAGUCGCGUGUGAAAGCCCCCGGCUCAACUGGGGAGGGUCACGCGAUACUGAUCGACUCGAAGGCAGGAGAGGGAAGUGGAAUUCCCGGUGUAGUGGUGAAAUGCGUAGAUAUCGGGAGGAACACCAGUGGCGAAGGCGACCUUCUGGCCUGUUCUUGACGCUGAGGCGCGAAAGUGUGGGGAGCGAACCGG
rnacentral:rRNA from 1 species